GAUGAACGCUAGCUACAGGCUUAACACAUGCAAGUCGCGGGGCAGCAUGGGGGUUGCCUGCAAUCCCCGAUGGCGACCGGCGCACGGGUGAGUAACGCGUAUCCAACCUGCCCUUCACCACGGGAUAACCCGGCGAAAGUCGGACUAAUACCGUAUGUUGUCCAUUGACGGCAUCCGAUUUGGACGAAAGGUUUGGCGGUGAAGGAUGGGGAUGCGUCCGAUUAGCUGGACGGCGGGGUGACGGCCCACCGUGGCGCCGAUCGGUAGGGGUUCUGAGAGGAAGGUCCCCCACACUGGAACUGAGACACGGUCCAGACUCCUACGGGAGGCAGCAGUGAGGAAUAUUGGUCAAUGGGCGUAAGCCUGAACCAGCCAAGUAGCGUGCAGGAUGACGGCCCUAUGGGUGGUAAACUGCUUUUAUGCGGGGAUAAAGUGGCCCACGUGUGGGUUUUUGCAGGUACCGCAUGAAUAAGGACCGGCUAAUUCCGUG
rnacentral:rRNA from 1 species